GGGGCUGAUUGGUUUUGACAGCGGGUAGAAGAGGCAGGUAAGCAUGCAGGGUUUUGGUUGUUGACCCUUUAAAAUAAUGAUCAAACCAUAAUUGGCGAAAAUAAUUACGCUCUUGCUGCGUAACCGAAUCACAGUAGGUUAACUGCUUAAUCCCGAUGCAAGGCGUUGGGACAAGACAUCGCCCGGGUGCUAAUGCUUUGAAGCGGCCCGAACCGGCGGUGCAAGUAAAUCGAAGCUAGUGGAAAUGAGGCUCCGGCAUUUCUGCGAAAAUUAAGGAGAUAAGAUAAACGUUGGUGGCCUUGAUCCGGUGUUUAUUCGAAAAUUAAGUCGGGGCUAAGCAUGUAGAAAGCUUGUUGCUUCCUCGUUUGGACGCGGGUUCGACUCCCGCCAGCUCCACUA
rfam:Mariniphaga anaerophila strain DSM 26910 genome assembly, contig: Ga0131162_103